CAAGUGUGUGUGUGUAUCUAUGUAUGUAUAUAUGUGUAUAUACAUAUAUAUAUACACACACACACACACACACAC
rnacentral:miRNA from 1 species